CCAUAUUUCACAAAAAGAGUCCUGACACAGGACCUUCUUAGGUUAUUGGAAAGUCUGAUCGAAUAGAAGAACUUAGAACCACUAUAGAAUAGCUAGUAUCUUUAAACUGAAAUGUCAGGUUUUACAAUUCAAUAACUCAAGUCAUGUUAUGAAGAAUCUCAUUAAUUAACUAAUAUGUGGUGAUUACAUUUAUAUAAAGAGAAUAAUAUUUCGACACCAAUAAAAGUCCUCGG
rnacentral:lncRNA from 1 species